rnacentral:rRNA from 1 species
AACGCUGGCGGCGUGCCUAACACAUGCAAGUCGAGCGGGGACAUACGACGGAACCAAAGUUUCGGAUGGAGGUGAAGAUGUAUGUUCUAGCGGCGGACGGGUGAGUAACGCGUGAGCAACCUGUCCCUUACAGGGGGAUAACACAGCGAAAGUUGUACUAAUACCGCAUGAGACCACGGGGAGACAUCUUUCAGGGGUCAAAGGAGCAAUCCGGUAAGGGGUGGGCUCGCGUCCGAUUAGAUAGUUGGUGAGGUAACGGCCCACCAAGUCGACGAUCGGUAGCCGACCUGAGAGGGUGAUCGGCCACAUUGGGACUGAGACACGGCCCAAACUCCUACGGGAGGCAGCAGGUGGGGAAUAUUGGGCAAUGGGGGGAACCCUGACCCAGCAACGCCGCGUGAGGGAAGAAGGUUUUCGGAUCGUAAACCUCUGUCCUUGGUGAAGAGGAAGAGACGGUAGCCAAGGAGGAAGCCCCGGCUAACUACGUGCCAGCCGCCGC